rnacentral:tRNA from 1 species
GGAGAGGUGGCAGAGUCUGGUCGAACGCGCUGGUUUCGAAAACCAGUAAGGGCGAAAGCUCUUCGUGGGUUCAAAUCCCACCCUCUCCG